rnacentral:rRNA from 1 species
UACGAAGGGGGCUAGCGUUGCUCGGAAUCACUGGGCGUAAAGGGCGCGUAGGCGGAUCUUUAAGUCGGGGGUGAAAGCCUGUGGCUCAACCACAGAAUUGCCUUCGAUACUGGGGAUCUCGAGACCGGAAGAGGUGAGUGGAACUGCGAGUGUAGAGGUGAAAUUCGUAGAUAUUCGCAAGAACACCAGUGGCGAAGGCGGCUCACUGGUCCGGUUCUGGACGCUGAGGCGCGAAAGCGUGGGGAGCAAACAGG